CUGGCUCAGGAUGAACGCUAGCUACAGGCUUAACACAUGCAAGUCGAGGGGCAGCAUUGAGAGUAGCUUGCUAUUCAGAUGGCGACCGGCGCACGGGUGAGUAACGCGUAUCCAACCUUCCCCUAGUAGGGGAUAGCCCGGUGAAAAUCGGAUUAAUACCCUAUGUUGUUCGAAGCAGACAUCUAAAUUGAACCAAAGGUUUACCGCUAAGGGAUGGGGAUGCGUCUGAUUAGGUAGUAGGCGGGGUAACGGCCCACCUAGCCGACGAUCAGUAGGGGUUCUGAGAGGAAGGUCCCCCACAUUGGAACUGAGACACGGUCCAAACUCCUACGGGAGGCAGCAGUGAGGAAUAUUGGUCAAUGGGCGCGAGCCUGAACCAGCCAAGUAAGCGUGCAGGACGACGGCCCUAUGGGUUGUAAACUGCUUUUAUACAGGGAUAAAGUCACCUACGUGUAGGUGUUUGUAGGUACUGUAUGAAUAAGGACCGGCUAAUUCCGUGCCAGCCGCCGC
rnacentral:rRNA from 1 species